CACAGGGCCGCAGAGAGGAGUUUGGGUUUGAUUUCAAACGCAUACCUCACACUCAGCCAGCAUGGAGAGACCCAAGAAGCAGCUCUGGGAUAAGUCAGCACUUGGACAGAACAUCUGCUCUUCACACCCCUGACUCUUUCAGCCGCAGCAUGUUCAGGGAGCCCCGUGACCAGGAGGGAGGUGCUGGGCCAAGCCCUUUCUGUGCGUCUGUGAGCUCGGGGCCCACUUUACAGAUGAGAACACCGAGAGAGGCGAAGGCAUCGGGCCCAGACUGCACGCUCCACGUGCUCCUGAGUCAGGUUCAAGCUCUAGGAGGUGUCUGGGCCCCGAGUGCAGCUGGCUGGGCCGGCAGAACUGAAGCCUAGCUGCCCUGAGAGUCUUUUGUGGGGGCCCCUGGAGGGGCCCAAGAGGUGGGGACAAGGACUGGAGGACGCAGCAAGCCAGCUGUGGAAAGGCAGGCUGCGGGUCCGGGAGGGAGAGUGACGCAAGAGAAAGCUGUGUGGCCUUUUCCAACCUUGAGCAGGAAGCGGCGUGCGCGGUUGGCACAGGCGCUUCUCUGAAGGAUGGAAAAAUCGAUGCCCACAGAAGAGCGGGUGCAGGAAAGGUACGGACAGCAGCGCUGGGAAGAAGACCGAGGGCAGGGGGAAGUCAGGCGCCCGGGAUCCCAGUGGCUGGGGUGCUGCUCCCCAUCUCCUGGAACAGACUCGAAGGUAUUAGUGAUGAAAGAAAACAUUUGCCAACUUAAGCCGUCUUUCAGCUAAACUAUCUUCCCGGACUAAGAGCGAUAUAAGACAGUUCGAAGACUGAGAAACUACCACUCACAGAGCUUUGCUCAAAGAACCAAUGAAAGAUGGUGAAAGGAAUACAGAAACCAAGCCCUGUAUCAAGUAUGUAAUGAGCCACAAGCAAAGGUAUGAAAAUGUGGGUAAAAUCUAAGUAAGACAUGGCCAUUAAAAUUGGUAAUAAUAAUAAUGACGAAUGGAGGCUCAAAACACGAUCAAAGCAAAAUAUGGACAUUCAUACCUGCUGACUGGGAGGUAUGGCUGGAGUUCAAUCACUCUGAGACCUUCACUGUCUAGGACGAGGGUGGGGAGUACUCAAUUAGAUCAUGUUCAGUCAGUUAAACACGCUAGAAAUUUAAAGAUAACCUCUAACAGUCAGAAAUGGAAUGUGUAACUUUCAAACCAAGAGAGGGAAAAGGGGAAGAAAGAAAACAGUGUCAGUCUAAUAGAAGGCAAAAAAAAAGAGGAGGGAGGGGAGAACACUGUUGAUUUUUGUGUUUUUGUAGGAUUAUACGUUACUAUUUAAUAGUUUUUAUCUGCUCCCCUUGGGUUUUCAAGUAGUCAGUUACAUGCUCUACAAAUAAGGAUGAUUGUGUCUCCUUUUCAGUUGCUGUUCUUUAAUUUGUGUUUCUUGUCUUAUUGCAUUGUCUGAAAGUUUCAGAGCCAUGGAAAAUUACAGAGGCAUCACUCAGCAUCCUGGUCUUAUUUUGGACAUGACUAAGAAUGUUCCUGGUGCUUCACCACUAGCUGUGAUGUGGGCUCUUGGCUUGAGACAGAUCUUUUUUGUCAUUGAAUCAGUCAGGAUAAGUGAGAUUCCGCUGCAGAAACCAAUAAUGUCACGAUCCCACGGCUUGAGAAGGGUUUAUUUCUUGUCCAUAUUAAGUCCGAGGUGGGUCCAGGCCACUCUGUCUCAGUUACAGCUGUGACUGGCUCAGCAUCGCAUCCCCACAGCAUCAAAUGCCCACAUCCUUGCUGCAGCAAGAGAAAGAGACUUGGAGAGUCUUGUAUGAGCAAGGAAGUGCUUCUACCUAGGAACAACACAGAUGACCUCAGCACGUGGCCCUGCCUGAGCCCACUGGGAAGUGUAGUCCCAGCCUGGGAAACCUCGUAGAUGUCACCACAAGCGCAUUAAGCAAGCAUCCUUUCAUUGCUGACUUCAUCCCUGGGACCCUGAAAGUCCACCCGAAUGUCACUGGGUCUUGGCCAUUUGACGAGUAGCACCAGGGGCUAGUACAAAGGUGAAGUCGUGCAUUCACGGGCUCUGACAAUGCAUGUUUCCGUUGGAGCCUGGCUGCACGUGUGACCCUUCAAUUCUGCCAAAGUCUCUGACCCCUCAUACCCGAGCUCCCCUUUGCCUGAGCUCCUUUGAGUGGAUUUCAAUUUCUUAUGACCCCCCACGAUGUCACCCGGGGUUAUCUGCUACUGUUUUCUUUGGAGUUUCUAUCAUAUUCCUAAGCAAGACUGUUCUGUAGUUGUCUGCCAACACUUUGUGUUAGGGUUAUUCCACAUUCUUAAGAUGGCUGGGGAAGGUUUCUGUCUUUCCUGCGUCCCAGAAUGGAAUAUCUGAAAUAUGUGAAUAGUUGUUAGUAAAAGUGUUGGGACCCCACACUCCUCUAGGAAGUAGCUCUUUCCCUACCUUUUCAAUUUACUCUGUAGUAAUAGAUUUUGUGGUUUUCCUCUA